rnacentral:rRNA from 1 species
GAUGAACGCUGGCGGCGUGCUUAACACAUGCAAGUCGAACGGGAAAUAUUUCAUUGAGACUUCGGUGGAUUUGAUUUAUUUCUAGUGGCGGACGGGUGAGUAACGCGUGGGUAACCUGCCUUAUACAGGGGGAUAACAGUCAGAAAUGGCUGCUAAUACCGCAUAAGCGCGCAGAGCUGCAUGGCUCAGUGUGAAAAACUCCGGUGGUAUAAGAUGGACCCGCGUUGGAUUAGCUAGUUGGUGGGGUAACGGCCCACCAAGGCGACGAUCCAUAGCCGGCCUGAGAGGGUGAACGGCCACAUUGGGACUGAGACACGGCCCAGACUCCUACGGGAGGCAGCAGUGGGGAAUAUUGCACAAUGGGGGAAACCCUGAUGCAGCGACGCCGCGUGAAGGAAGAAGUAUCUCGGUAUGUAAACUUCUAUCAGCAGGGAAGAUAGUGACGGUACCUGACUAAGAAGCCCCGGCUAUCUACGUG